ACUCCUACGGGAGGCAGCAGUAGGGAAUCUUCCGCAAUGGACGAAAGUCUGACGGAGCAACGCCGCGUGAGUGAAGAAGGGUUUCGGCUCGUAAACUCUGUUGUCAGGGAAGAACGCCGACGGGAGUAACUGCCCGUCGGGUGACGGUACCUGACCAGAAAGCCACGGCUAACUACGUGCCAGCAGCCGCGGUAAUACGUAGGUGGCAAGCGUUAUCCGGAAUUAUUGGGCGUAAAGCGCGCGUAGGCGGUUCGUUAAGUCUGAUGUGAAAGCCCGCCUGCAUCAGGCGGGAGGCAUUGGAAACUGGCGGACUUGAGUGCAGAAGAGGAGAGUGGAAUUCCAUGUGUAGCGGUGAAAUGCGCAGAGAUAUGGAGGAACACCAGUGGCGAAGGCGGCUCUCUGGUCUGCAACUGACGCUGAGGUGCGAAAGCGUGGGGAUCAAACAGGAUUAGAUACCCUGGUAGGCU
rnacentral:rRNA from 1 species